rnacentral:rRNA from 1 species
GAUGAACGCUGGCGGCGUGCUUAACACAUGCAAGUCGAACGGUGAAGCCAAGCUUGCUUGGUGGAUCAGUGGCGAACGGGUGAGUAACACGUGAGCAACCUGCCCUGGACUCUGGGAUAAGCGCUGGAAACGGCGUCUAAUACUGGAUAUGAGCCUCUAUCGCAUGGUGGGGGUCGGAAAGAUUUUUUGGUCUGGGAUGGGCUCGCGGCCUAUCAACUUGUUGGUGAGGUAAUGGCUCACCAAGGCGUCGACGGGUAGCCGGCCUGAGAGGGUGACCGGCCACACUGGGACUGAGACACGGCCCAGACUCCUACGGGAGGCAGCAGUGGGGAAUAUUGCACAAUGGGCGAAAGCCUGAUGCAGCAACGCCGCGUGAGGGAUGACGGCCUUCGGGUUGUAAACCUCUUUUAGCAGGGAAGAAGCGAAAGUGACGGUACCUGCAGAAAAAGCGCCGGCUAACUACGUGCCAGCAGCCGCGGUAAUACGUAGGGCGCAAGCGUUAUCCGGAAUUAUUGGGCGUAAAGAGCUCGUAGGCGGUUUGUCGCGUCUGCUGUGAAAUCCCGAGGCUCAACCUCGGGCCUGCAGUGGGUACGGGCAGACUAGAGUGCGGUAGGGGAGAUUGGAAUUCCUGGUGUAGCGGUGGAAUGCGCAGAUAUCAGGAGGAACACCGAUGGCGAAGGCAGAUCUCUGGGCCGUAACUGACGCUGAGGAGCGAAAGGGUGGGGAGCAAACAGGCUUAGAUACCCUGGUAGUCCACCCCGUAAACGUUGGGAACUAGUUGUGGGGACCAUUCCACGGUUUCCGUGACGCAGCUAACGCAUUAAGUUCCCCGCCUGGGGAGUACGGCCGCAAGGCUAAAACUCAAAGGAAUUGACGGGGACCCGCACAAGCGGCGGAGCAUGCGGAUUAAUUCGAUGCAACGCGAAGAACCUUACCAAGGCUUGACAUAUACGAGAACGGGCCAGAAAUGGUCAACUCUUUGGACACUCGUAAACAGGUGGUGCAUGGUUGUCGUCAGCUCGUGUCGUGAGAUGUUGGGUUAAGUCCCGCAACGAGCGCAACCCUCGUUCUAUGUUGCCAGCACGUAAUGGUGGGAACUC